rnacentral:rRNA from 1 species
UACGGAGGGGGCUAGCGUUGUUCGGAAUUACUGGGCGUAAAGCGCACGUAGGCGGCUUUCUAAGUCGGGGGUGAAAUCCUGGAGCUCAACUCCAGAACUGCCUUCGAUACUGGAGCUUGAGUCCGGGAGAGGUGAGUGGAACUGCGAGUGUAGAGGUGAAAUUCGUAGAUAUUCGCAAGAACACCAGUGGCGAAGGCGGCUCACUGGCCCGGUACUGACGCUGAGGUGCGAAAGCGUGGGGAGCAAACAGGG